AAGUCGUAACAAGGUUUCCGUAGGUGAACCUGCGGAAGGAUCAUUAUUGGAAGUUAACGGGUGCACUUUACGGUGACCCGGCCCACUCCAUCCAUUCUCACUGUGCACUGUAUCCUUAUUUUACAUUUUACACCUACCAGUUUUUGUAUGUAAACCAUUUGUAAACAAAUAAAACUUUCAACAACGGAUCUCUUGGCUCCC
rnacentral:misc_RNA from 1 species